CGGCAUGGCGGCGUGCUAUACAUGCAAGUCGAGCGGACAGAUGGGAGCUUGCUCCCUGAUGUUAGCGGCGGACGGGUGAGUAACACGUGGGUAACCUGCCUGUAAGACUGGGAUAACUCCGGGAAACCGGGGCUAAUACCGGAUGCUUGUUUGAACCGCAUGGUUCAAACAUAAAAGGUGGCUUCGGCUACCACUUACAGAUGGACCCGCGGCGCAUUAGCUAGUUGGUGAGGUAAUGGCUCACCAAGGCAACGAUGCGUAGCCGACCUGAGAGGGUGAUCGGCCACACUGGGACUGAGACACGGCCCAGACUCCUACGGGAGGCAGCAGUAGGGAAUCUUCCGCAAUGGACGAAAGUCUGACGGAGCAACGCCGCGUGAGUGAUGAAGGUUUUCGGAUCGUAAAGCUCUGUUGUUAGGGAAGAACAAGUACCGUUCGAAUAGGGCGGUACCUUGACGGUACCUAACCAGAAAGCCACGGCUAACUACGUGCCAGCAGCCGCGGUAAUACGUAGGUGGCAAGCGUUGUCCGGAAUUAUUGGGCGUAAAGGGCUCGCAGGCGGUUUCUUAAGUCUGAUGUGAAAGCCCCCGGCUCAACCGGGGAGGGUCAUUGGAAACUGGGGAACUUGAGUGCAGAAGAGGAGAGUGGAAUUCCACGUGUAGCGGUGAAAUGCGUAGAGAUGGUGGAGGAACACCAGUGGCGAAGGCGACUCUCUGGUCUGUAACUGACGCUGAGGAGCGAAAGCGUGGGGGAGCGAACAGGAUUAGAUACCCUGGUAGUCCACGCCGUAACGAUGAGUGCUAAGUGUUAAGGGGGUUUCCGCCCCUUAGUGCUGCAGCUAACGCAUUAAGCCACUCCGCCCUUGGGGAGUACGGUCCGCAAGACUGAAACUCAAAGGAUUGACGGGGGGCCCGCACAAGCGGUGGAGCAUGUGUUUAAUUCGAAGCACGCGAGACCUUACCAGGUCUGACAUCUCUGACAAUCUUAGAGAUAGGACGUCCU
rnacentral:rRNA from 1 species